CAACACUGGAAAAAGUCCUGUGCAUAUUUACUUAGGAGCAAGUUCCAUUGCGUUUAGCGGGGUUUGCUCCCAAGGAUGCCUCUUUUCCUCACGUUUCCAUCCAUGGCUAUUAAGAUGAGCCCGGAAGCUGUGCUCUAUGGCACCCCUAUGAAGACAACUUUAAAAACAAGCAAAACAUCAUGGACAUUCUAAUCUUGCUAAAAAAAGACAUGUUAUAAUUGUCAGUGUGAUACAUUCUGAAUAAGGAAAUGAAAACAAGCAUACAUUAAUAAUUAAAACAACAUACACAAUGAAUAAAAAACAAAAUAAAUGAGAGUUUUCAUGAGGGAGGAAGAGGCAGCACCUUUGCCCUUGCCAAAAUAACCUAGCAAUGGAUUUGAUCCCAGAAUACACUUUGGGUUUAUUCCUUUUUUCACAAGCCAACUUGGAGGGUAUGUGUGGAUUAAGAGUUGCCAGGUGCAGGGCCUGAGACUGAUCCUGUAUCUUUAGGA